rfam:Myotis davidii contig163495, whole genome shotgun sequence.
GGUGGUUCUCAGGUGCACACCCCAGAAUCGAGCUCCCUCCUCUCUGGUUCCAGGUAGGUCACCUGAGAACCACA